UACAGAGGGUGCGAGCGUUGUUCGGAAUUACUGGGCGUAAAGCGCGCGUAGGCGGCUUUGUAAGUUAGAGGUGAAAGCCCGGGGCUCAACCCCGGAAUUGCCUUUAAGACUGCAUCGCUUGAAUCCGGGAGAGGUGAGUGGAAUUCCGAGUGUAGAGGUGAAAUUCGUAGAUAUUCGGAAGAACACCAGUGGCGAAGGCGGCUCACUGGACCGGCAUUGACGCUGAGGUGCGAAAGCGUGGGGAGCAAACAGG
rnacentral:rRNA from 1 species